rnacentral:rRNA from 1 species
UACGUAGGGUGCGAGCGUUGUCCGGAAUUAUUGGGCGUAAAGAGCUCGUAGGCGGCCUGUCGCGUCGGAUGUGAAAACUCGGGGCUUAACCCCGAGCCUGCAUUCGAUACGGGCAGGCUAGAGUUCGGCAGGGGAGACUGGAAUUCUUGGUGUAGCGGUGAAAUGCGCAGAUAUCAGGAGGAACACCGGUGGCGAAGGCGGCUCUCUGGGCCUUACCUGACGCUGAGGAGCGAAAGCGUGGGGAUCAAACAGG